rnacentral:rRNA from 1 species
UACGUAGGGGGCAAGCGUUGUCCGGAAUCAUUGGGCGUAAAGAGCGUGUAGGCGGCCCGGUAAGUCCGCUGUGAAAGUCCAGGGCUCAACCCUGGAAUGCCGGUGGAUACUGUCGGGCUCGAAUCCGGAAGAGGUGAGUGGAAUUCCUGGUGUAGCGGUGAAAUGCGCAGAUAUCGGGAGGAACACCAGUAGCGAAGGCGGCUCGCUGGGCCAUUCCUGACGCUGAGACGCGAAAGCUAGGGGAGCGAACAGG